UCCUCCGUCCUUUUACUAUAGGGCUUUAGUUGAAGGCGGUGAUCCCUUUCGAACAACAGUUCGAAACUGUUUGGGAACCCCACAAGGCAGUUUGCUCAAUGAGGUUAGAAAACAAAACACCUCUGGAUUCUUUCUUCAGAAGUCCGUCUGUGUAUGUGGGAUUCCCCUAGGAAGAAAGGAAUGAUGGGGUAAAGGUCGUCUGAUUAUCUGAUCAAUUCGAUUGCAACUGGUAAUUUAAUCAAACUGGAAAGAAAGUAAGUUUAAGGAUAGAUAAGAAAGGCUUGUUUAGUUACCUUGACAUGUGAAUCUCAUUCGUUUGCCCUAAGUCUCCUUAUUGCCCGAUAGUGAUAGUAUUAUAGAUCGAUAUGUUUGCUCUCUGAAGUCCAGUGAUAUAAAAGAGAACGAGUGUCCAAUAGUUCCAGCAUUCGCUUUCGAGUAGACAAAUCAACAAUGCAAUCAUUGAAAUCAGUCGCCAUGUGGUUGCUUCUUUUGUCGGCCAUUUUUGCUCUGUCGCAAGGAAGACCACCGCAACCAGAAGAAAAGUUAAUUGCGAGUGAGAACAAAGAACUGGUUCUUCACCCGGAACAGAACUUGGAUCUGUCACAAUCCCAUCUGCGAAACAAACGAGCGCUGUGUGCUCCCAGAUUCAGCAAGAUCCUUAUCCAACCGUGCGUUUUCCACUGUGAAUCGUUUGCUAUGCGUGGUAAGUGUAGCAACGAUAGAAAGUGUAGCUGCUUUCCUUUUUGAGUUUGAAGAA